rnacentral:rRNA from 1 species
GGAAUCUUAGACAAUGGGGGAAACCCUGAUCUAGCCAUGCCGCGUGAGUGACGAAGGCCCUAGGGUCGUAAAGCUCUUUCGCCAGGGAAGAUAAUGACGGUACCCACAGAAGAAGCCCCGGCUAACUCCGUGCCAACAGCCGCGGUAAUACGGAGGGGGCUAGCGUUGUUCGGAAUAACUGGGCGUAAAGCGCACGUAGGCGGACCGGAAAGUCAGAGGUGAAAUCCCAGGGCUCAACCUUGGAACUGCCUUUGAAACUCCUGGUCUUGAGGUCGAGAGAGGUGAGUGGAAUUCCGAGUGUAGAGGUGAAAUUCGUAGAUAUUCGGAGGAACACCAGUGGCGAAGGCGGCUCACUGGCUCGAUACUGACGCUGAGGUGCGAAAGCGUGGGGAGCAAAC